UACGUAGGGUGCAAGCGUUAAUCGGAAUUACUGGGCGUAAAGCGCACGCAGGUGGCUGAGUCAGUCGAUUGUGAAAGCCCUGGGCUUAACCUGGGAAUUGCAGUCGAUACUACUCAGCUAGAGUAUGGGAGAGGGUAGUGGAAUUCCCGGGUGUAGCGGUGAAAUGCGUAGAUAUCGGGAGGAACACCAAUGGCGAAGGCAG
rnacentral:rRNA from 1 species